rnacentral:rRNA from 1 species
UAAAGGGUGUGUAGGCGGGUAUUUAAGUCAGUGGUGAAAUCUCCGAGCUCAACUCGGAAACUGCCAUUGAUACAUUUAUCUUGAAUAUUGUUGAGGUAGGCGGAAUAUGUCAUGUAGCGGUGAAAUGCUUAGAUAUGACAUAGAACACCGAUUGCGAAGGCAGCUUGCUAAACAAUUAUUGACGCUGAGGCACGAAAGCGUGGGGAUCAAACAGGAUUAGAUACCCUGGU